CUUCCUUUUAACAGGCAGAAACCUUGGGCAGGACCAGACUCAUGCUAGACAGCCACCAUGCCGCUGCUGGGUUGGGGAGGAAUGUAGAGAGAAGAGGGGAGAGGGGGAGAGGACAGGGGGAGGGAGAGAGACAGCAAGAUAGGGGAAAGGCGAGAGAGAAUUAGUACGGAGAGGGAGGGGGAGGGAGAGAGAGUAGGGAACGAGGGUGAGAGAGAGACAGGAGGCAGCAGGAACAACAGCAACAACGACAACAGCUCAUGUAAUGGUGAAACAAAAAGACGUUCAGUUUACAGGUUUAGGAUAUGAGAAAUAAUGGACAAUGUUGAAUUAAUUGAGUGUGAUUACAGUUAGCAGGCUUAAUCGUAGUCAGUUCUAUUUUGUAUGUCAAUAAUGACAGUGAGGCUGAUGUUCAUGUCUGCAGUAACAGUAACAGUCCAGAGGAAUCAGAGAGAAGAAGGAGCUCAGGGCCGGGGGGGGGGUCUCUGCAGCAACGGUCCAGAGAAGCCAAAGAGCCAAAGAGAUGGAGGAGCUCAGGGCCCAGGAUGGAUGCAGCUGGGGUCAGGCAGUUCCGCAGCAGACCGUUUGCAGCAUUAGUCCAGUGGCAGCUAAAAGACUCAGAGACACUCAGAGAGACAGAAAACUGGUCAGUGACUUAUAUGGGACAUAAAGAUCUAAAGAGGAGAUAGAGACAGAUUCUAGCUCAGUGUGCCAGAUAGCCCCGGCAGUCUAGGCCUAUAGCAGCAUAACUAAGAGCUGGUUCAAAUCAGCCCUGACUAUAGGCUUUAUCAAAGAGGAACGUUUUAAGUCUACUCUUGAAAGUUGAGAGUGUGUCUGCCCCCCGAACCUCGAGCGGUAAAUGAUUCCAGAGGAGAGGUGCCUGGUAGCUGAAAGCUCUUCCUCCAAUACUACUUUCAGAGACAUUUGGUACAACGAGCAGACCUGCAGACUGUGAGCGUAACGGUCUAGAUGGAAAGUACGGUAUAAC
rnacentral:lncRNA from 1 species